CUACGGGGCGCUGCAGUGGGGAAUAUUGCACAAUGGAGGAAACUCUGAUGCAGCAACGCCGCGUGGAGGAUGACACUUUUCGGAGCGUAAACUCCUUUUAUAUAGGAAGAAGAUGACGGUACUAUAUGAAUAAGCGCCGGCUAACUCCGUGCCAGCAGCCGCGGUAAUACGGAGGGCGCAAGCGUUACUCGGAAUCACUGGGCGUAAAGAGCGUGUAGGCGGAUUAAAAAGUCAGAAGUGAAAUCCUAUAGCUUAACUAUAGAACUGCUUCUGAAACUCUUAAUCUAGAAUAUGGGAGAGGUAGAUGGAAUUUCGUGUGUAGGGGUAAAAUCCGUAGAGAUCAGAAGGAAUACCGAUUGCGAAGGCGAUCUACUAGAACAUUAUUGACGCUGAGACGCGAAAGCGUGGGGAGCAAACAGGAUUAGAUACCCGCGUAGUC
rnacentral:rRNA from 1 species